rnacentral:rRNA from 1 species
GAUGAACGCUGGCUACAGGCUUAACACAUGCAAGUCGAGGGGAAACGGCAUUGAGUGCUUGCACUGAAUGGACGUCGACCGGCGCACGGGUGAGUAACGCGUAUCCAACCUUCCCGUUACUGCGGGAUAACCUGCCGAAAGGCAGACUAAUACCGCAUGUUCUUCGAUGACGGCAUCAGAUUCGAAGCAAAGAUCCGUCGGUAACGGAGGGGGAUGCGUCUGAUUAGCUAGUUGGCGGGGCGACGGCCCACCAAGGCGACGAUCAGUAGGGGUUCUGAGAGGAAGGUCCCCCACAUUGGAACUGAGACACGGUCCAAACUCCUACGGGAGGCAGCAGUGAGGAAUAGUGGUCAAUGGGCGGAAGCCUGAACCAGCCAAGUAGCGUGCAGGAUGACGGCCCUACGGGUUGUAAACUGCUUUUAUGCGGGGAUAAAGUGAGGGACGCGUCCCUUUUUGCAGGUACCGCAUGAAUAAGGACCGGCUAAUUCCGUG